CACGGCAUCCAGACUUUGAUCCUGGCUCAGGACGAACGCUGGCGGCGUGGAUUAGGCAUGCAAGUCGAACGGUAGGAUCCUUUCGGGGAUCUGAGAGUGGCGAACGGGUGAGUAACACGUAGGUGAUCUACCCUCAAAUCGGGGACAACCCAGGGAAACUUGGGCUAAUACCGGAUGACAGCUCCUUUCGGGGAGUUUGAAAGAUGGCUUCAGCUGUCGUUUGGGGAUGAGCCUGCGCUCUAUUAGUUAGUUGGUGGGGUAACGGCCUACCAAGGCGAUGAUAGAUAGGCGGCCUUAACGGGUGGUCGCCCACACUGGGAUUGAGAUACGGCCCAGACUCCUACGGGAGGCAGCAGUCGAGAAUAGUCUACAAUGGUCGAAAGACUGAUAGUGCGACGCCGCGUGAACGAAGAAGCCCUUCGGGGUGUAAAGUUCUUUUAUAUGUGAGCAGUGCUCUUUAUGUGAACAGCAUGGGGAGAGAGAUAUUAGCAUAUGAAUAAGCAACGGCUAACUCCGUGCCAGCAGCCGCGGUAACACGGGGGUUGCGAGCGUUGUCCGGAAUUACUAGGCGUAAAGGGCAGGUAGGCGGAUCCAUAAGUUUAAUGUUUAAGGCAACGGCUCACCCGUUGUAAGGCAUUAGAUACUGUGGAUCUGGAAUGCGGUUGGGGAAGACAGAAUUCCUGGUGUAGCGGUGGAUGCGCAGAGAUCAGGAGGAWUACCGAAGGCGAAGGCAGUCUUCCAAGCCGUUAUUGACGCUAAACUGCGAAGGUGUGGGUAUCAAACAGGAUUAGAUACCCUGGUAGUCCACACAGUAAACGAUAAUCACUAGGUGUCGGGUUCGUAGAGGAUUCGGUGCCGUAGCUAACGCGAUAAGUGAUCGCCUGGGGAGUACAAUCGCAGGUUGAACUCAAAGGAUUGACGGGGGCCGCACAGCGGGGAGCAUGGGGUUAAUUCCAGCACGCAAGAACUUACCCGUCUUACUCUGCGGAAGUUCAAAAUGAAAUGUGCCGUUUCCGGACUGCAAAAGGGCUGCUGCUGCCCCACUCCGGCGGAAAGUGGGUAGCCCCAC
rnacentral:rRNA from 1 species